AUGGUUUGGGUGGGAAGGGACCUUAAAGUCCCCCCAGUGCCACCCCCUGCCCUGGGCAGGGACACCUCCCACCAGACCAGGUUGCUCCAAGCCCCCUCCAACCUGGCCUUGAACCCCUCCAGGGAUGGGGCAGCCACAGCUUCUCUGGGCAACCUGGGCCAGGCUCUCACCACCCUCACAGCAAAGAAGUUCUUCCUGAGGUCUCAUCUCAAUCUCCACUCUUCCAGUUUGAAGCCCUUAUCUCUCAUCAUUACAUGCCCUUGUAAAAAGUCCCUUCCCAGUUUUCUUGUAGGCCCCCUUCAGAUACUGGAAAGCUGCUCUAAGAUCUCCCCAGAGCCUUCUCUUCUCCAGGCUGAACCCCCCAACUCUCUCAGCCCCCCCCUCCCAGCAGAGGGGCUCCAGCCCUCCCAGCAUCUCCGGGGCCUCCUCUGGCCAACAGCUCCGUGUCCCUCUGAUGUUGGUGGCCCCAGAGCUGGAGGGAGCACUGGGCGGGGGAGGGGGUCUCCCCAGAGCGGAGCAGAGGGGCAGAUUUCCCCCCCUGACCCUGCUGCCCACGCUGCUGGGGAUGCAGCCCAGGGUGUGGGGGGCUUUCCGGGCUGCCAGUGCCCGGGGCCGGCCCAUGGCCAGCUUGUCACCCCCAGCUCCUCUCGGAGGGACACCCUCCACCCCUCCCUCCCCGCCCAGCCCCCUCACCCACAGCCUCACACCAGUUCCCUGCCAAACGAAACCGGGCAGCGGAGCGGCCGCCCCCACCCGAGGGCCAGGGCUGCCCGGGGAGCGGGACUCCGCCUGCUCGGCCUUGCUCAGAGAGAACCCGGGUCCCCGGGAAGGACGCGCCUUCCCGCGACACCCGCCUCACCCACAAACGAGCAGGCCCCCCCAGGCCCGGCAGGCGAGAAGCCCCCCCUCCCGCCCCGCCAGCUGCCGCCCGGGCGGGCCCUCAGCGCCCCGGCGGGCGGCCGAGGCGGCGGGAAGCGGAAGCGGAAGCCGUCACGGCAGCCCCGCCCGCUGCGCAGCCCCCCCAAAGCGCAUGCUCCGCUCUGCCCAGCCGGGCGCGGCGAUUCUGACUGCGUCGCAGGCUGA
rnacentral:lncRNA from 1 species